rnacentral:rRNA from 1 species
AUUGAACGCUGGCGGCAGGCUUAACACAUGCAAGUCGAGCGGGGGAAGGUAGCUUGCUACCGGACCUAGCGGCGGACGGGUGAGUAAUGCUUAGGAAUCUGCCUAUUAGUGGGGGACAACAUCUCGAAAGGGAUGCUAAUACCGCAUACGUCCUACGGGAGAAAGCAGGGGAUCUUCGGACCUUGCGCUAAUAGAUGAGCCUAAGUCGGAUUAGCUAGUUGGUGGGGUAAAGGCCUACCAAGGCGACGAUCUGUAGCGGGUCGGAGAGGAUGAUCCGCCACGCUGGGACUGAGACACGGCCCAGACUCCUGCGGGAGGCAGCAGUGGGGAAUAUUGGACAAUGGGGGGAACCCUGAUCCAGCCAUGCCGCGUGUGUGAAGAAGGCCUUAUGGUUGUAAAGCACUUUAAGCGAGGAGGAGGCUACUUUAGUUAAUACCUAGAGAUAGUGGACGUUACUCGCAGAAUAAGCACCGGCUAACUCUGUGCCAGCAGCCGCUGUAA